rnacentral:rRNA from 1 species
AUGUUAGCGGCGGACGGGUGAGUAACACGUGGGUAACCUGCCUGUAAGACUGGGAUAACUCCGGGAAACCGGGGCUAAUACCGGAUGGUUGUCUGAACCGCAUGGUUCAGACAUAAAAGGUGGCUUCGGCUACCACUUACAGAUGGACCCGCGGCGCAUUAGCUAGUUGGUGAGGUAACGGCUCACCAAGGCGACGAUGCGUAGCCGACCUGAGAGGGUGAUCGGCCACACUGGGACUGAGACACGGCCCAGACUCCUACGGGAGGCAGCAGUAGGGAAUCUUCCGCAAUGGACGAAAGUCUGACGGAGCAACGCCGCGUGAGUGAUGAAGGUUUUCGGAUCGUAAAGCUCUGUUGUUAGGGAAGAACAAGUGCCGUUCAAAUAGGGCGGCACCUUGACGGUACCUAACCAGAAAGCCACGGCUAACUACGUGCCAGCAGCCGCGGUAAUACGUAGGUGGCAAGCGUUGUCCGGAAUUAUUGGGCGUAAAGGGCUCGCAGGCGGUUUCUUAAGUCUGAUGUGAAAGCCCCCGGCUCAACCGGGGAGGGUCAUUGGAAACUGGGGAACUUGAGUGCAGAAGAGGAGAGUGGAAUUCCACGUGUAGCGGUGAAAUGCGUAGAGAUGUGGAGGAACACCAGUGGCGAAGGCGACUCUCUGGUCUGUAACUGACGCUGAGGAGCGAAAGCGUGGGGAGCGAACAGGAUUAGAUACCCUGGUAGUCCACGCCGUAAACGAUGAGUGCUAAGUGUUAGGGGGUUUCCGCCCCUUUAGUGCUGCAGCUAACGCAUUAAGCACUCCGCCUGGGGAGUACGGUCGCAAGACUGAAACUCAAAGGAAUUGACGGGGGCCCGC